UACGUAGGGUGCGAGCGUUGUCCGGAAUUAUUGGGCGUAAAGGGCUCGUAGGCGGUCUGUUGCGUCAGGAGUGAAAACUCUGGGCUUAACCCAGAGCCUGCAUCCAAAACUGGCAAACUUGAGUACUGGAGGGGAAAGCGGAAUUCCUGGUGUAGCGGUGAAAUGCGUAGAUAUCAGGAGGAACACCGGUGGCGAAGGCGGCUUUCUGGACAGUUCCUGACGCUGAGGCACGAAGGUCAGGGGAGCAAACGGG
rnacentral:rRNA from 1 species